rnacentral:rRNA from 1 species
GAGGAAUAUUGGGCAAUGCCCGCAAGGGUGACCCAGCAACGCCGCGUGGAGGAUGAAUGUCGUAAGAUUGUAAACUCCUGUUAGAGGGGAAGAAUAGUACCGGUUGGACCGGUAUAUGACUGUACCCUCAGAGAAAGCCCCGGCUAACUCCGUGCCAGCAGCCGCGGUAAUACGUAGGGGGCAAGCGUUGUCCGGAUUUACUGGGUGUAAAGGGCGCGCAGGCGGGAUAAAAAGUCAGUGGUUAAAUCCUACAGCUUAACUGUAGAACUGCCUUUGAUACUUUUAUUCUUGAGUUCGGGAGAGAGAGACGGAAUUCCAGGUGUAGUAGUGAAAUACGUAGAUAUCUGGAAGAACACCAGUUGCGAAGGCGGUCUCUUGGUCCGACACUGACGCUGAGGCGCGAAAGCGUGGGGAGCAAACA